GAUGAACGCUGGCGGCGUGCCUAAUACAUGCAAGUCGAGCGAACAGACGAGGAGCUUGCUCCUCUGACGUUAGCGGCGGACGGGUGAGUAACACGUGGCUAACCUACCUAUCAGACUGGGAUAACUUCGGGAAACCGGAGCUAAUACCGGAUAACAUGUUGAACCGCAUGGUUCAACAGUGAAAGACGGUCUUGCUGUCACUUAUAGAUGGAUCCGCGCCGCAUUAGCCAGUUGGUAAGGUAACGGCUUACCAAGGCAACGAUGCGUAGCCGACCUGAGAGGGGGAUCGGCCACACGGGAACGGAGACACGGUCCAGACUCCUACGGGAGGCAGCAGUAGGGAAUCUUCCGCAAUGGGCGAAAGCCUGACGGAGCAACGCCGCGUGAGUGAAGAAGGUCUUCGGAUCGUAAAACUCUGUUAUGAGGGAAGAACAAAUGUGUAAGUAACUAUGCACGUCUUGACGGUACCUAAUCAGAAAGCCACGGCUAACUACGUG
rnacentral:rRNA from 1 species